rnacentral:rRNA from 1 species
AGAAUCAACGCUGGCGGCGUGCCUAACACAUGCAAGUCGCACGAGAAAGGGGAGGCAAUCCCUGAGUACAGUGGCGCACGGGUGAGUAACACGUGAAUAAUCUACCUCCGAGUGGGGAAUAAACUGAGAGAAAUCUUAGCUAAUACCGCAUAACACUUACGAGUCAAAGCAGCAAUGCGCUUGGAGAGGAGUUCGCGGCCGAUUAGUUAGUUGGCGGGGUAAUGGCCCACCAAGACGAUGAUCGGUAUCCGGCCUGAGAGGGCGCACGGACACACUGGAACUGAAACACGGUCCAGACUCCUACGGGAGGCAGCAGUGGGGAAUUUUGCGCAAUGGGGGAAACCCUGACGCAGCAACGCCGCGUGGAGGAUGAAAUAUCUUGGUAUGUAAACUCCUUUCGAUGGGGAAGAUUUAUGACGGUACCCAGUAGAAGAAGCCCCGGCUAACUUCGCGCCAGCAGCCGC